GAUAGUGAUAUCACAGGUUUCGUGGUUGUUGGCUAUUAUGUAUAUAGUUUUUUCCUCAAACAAGGGAUUUCUAAUUUCAGCUGCUUGCAGUGCUUUUCAUCAAGCCUCAAUUGGGGUACAGUUUAACAAUAUGAUGUUUUCUCUUGUUCGGAAACAGAAAGACCACACCGGUCAAUAAAGUUUAUGGAACACUAUGGUAUGAUUGGAAGGAUCUAUAGUCGACUUUUCUGUGACUACUGACUAGAAUCAUGGUGGAAAUGAAAAGCUCUGGUAUUUUCAUGGGGAUUAUUAAGGGGGUAUUUUAAUGAAACUCCACAAGGAAACGAGAGAACAUCUAUGGAUUUCGUGCCUGACGAACUGACCAUUGAUAAGUUGGUUGUCCUUUAGAUGGGUGACCUGGAGUGUGAAGGUGGCAGUUGAGCUAAAUUGUGGAUGUUAUAAAAGUUAAGAGGCUAAAGAAUAAAAGUUUGACGAAUAUCAUAUGUAAUUAUAUAUAUAAUUAUAUAUCAACCAUUUUGGAGUA